UGGUGCUUGCACCUGAUUGACGAUGGAUCACCAGUGAGUGGCGGACGGGUGAGUAACACGUAGGUAACCUGCCCCGGAGCGGGGGAUAACAUUUGGAAACAGAUGCUAAUACCGCAUAACAACAAAAGCCACAUGGCUUUUGUUUGAAAGAUGGCUUUGGCUAUCACUCUGGGAUGGACCUGCGGUGCAUUAGCUAGUUGGUAAGGUAACGGCUUACCAAGGCGAUGAUGCAUAGCCGAGUUGAGAGACUGAUCGGCCACAAUGGAACUGAGACACGGUCCAUACUCCUACGGGAGGCAGCAGUAGGGGAUCUUCCACAAUGGGCGCAAGCCUGAUGGAGCAACACCGCGUGAGUGAAGAAGGGUUUCGGCUCGUAAAGCUCUGUUGUUGGAGAAGAACGUGCGUGAGAGUAACUGUUCACGCAGUGACGGUAUCCAACCAGAAAGUCACGGCUAACUACGUGCCAGCAGCCGCGGUAAUACGUAGGUGGCAAGCGUUAUCCGGAUUUAUUGGGCGUAAAGCGAGCGCAGGCGGUUGCUUAGGUCUGAUGUGAAAGCCUUCGGCUUAACCGAAGAAGUGCAUCGGAAACCGGGCGACUUGAGUGCAGAAGAGGACAGUGGAACUCCAUGUGUAGCGGUGGAAUGCGUAGAUAUAUGGAAGAACACCAGUGGCGAAGGCGGCUGUCUGGUCUGCAACUGACGCUGAGGCUCGAAAGCAUGGGUAGCGAACCAGGAUUAGAUACCCUGGUAGUCCAUGCCGUAAACGAUGAGUGCUAGGUGUUGGAGGGUUUUCCGCCCUUCAGUGCCGGAGCUAACGCAUUAAGCACUCCGCCUGGGGAGUACGACCGCAAGGUU
rnacentral:rRNA from 1 species